AUUGAACGCUGGCGGCAGGCCUAACACAUGCAAGUCGAGCGGAUGAAGGGAGCUUGCUCCUGGAUUCAGCGGCGGACGGGUGAGUAAUGCCUAGGAAUCUGCCUGGCAGUGGGGGAUAACGUCCGGAAACGGGCGCUAAUACCGCAUACGUCCUGAGGGAGAAAGUGGGGGAUCUUCGGACCUCACGCUAUCAGAUGAGCCUAGGUCGGAUUAGCUAGCUGGUGGGGUAAAGGCCUACCAAGGCGACGAUCCGUAACUGGUCUGAGAGGAUGAUCAGUCACACUGGAACUGAGACACGGUCCAGACUCCUACGGGAGGCAGCAGUGGGGAAUAUUGGGCAAUGGGCGAAAGCCUGAUCCAACCAUGCCGCGUGUGUGAAGAAGGUCUUCGGAUUGUAAAGCACUUUAAGUUGGGAGGAAGGGCAGUAAGUUAAUACCUUGCUGUUUUGACGUUACCAACAGAAUAAGCACCGGCUAACUUCGUG
rnacentral:rRNA from 1 species